rnacentral:rRNA from 1 species
UACGUAGGGUGCGAGCGUUGUCCGGAAUUAUUGGGCGUAAAGGGCUCGUAGGCGGUUUGUCACGUCGGGAGUGAAAACUCAGGGCUUAACCCUGAGCCUGCUUCCGAUACGGGCAGACUAGAGGUAUGCAGGGGAGAAUGGAAUUCCUGGUGUAGCGGUGAAAUGCGCAGAUAUCAGGAAGAACACCCGUGGCUAAGGCGGCUCUCUAGUACGGUACUGACGCUGAGACGCGAAAGCGUGGGGAGCGAACAGG